rnacentral:rRNA from 1 species
GAUGAACGCUGGCGGCGUGCCUAAUACAUGCCAGUCGAGCGAACGGACGAGAAGCUUGCUUCUCUGAUGUUAGCGGCGGACGGGUGAGUAACACGUGGAUAACCUACCCAUAAGACUGGGAUAACUUCGGGAAACCGGAGCUAAUACCGGAUAAUAUUUUGAACCGCAUGGUUCAAAAGUGAAAGACGGUCUUGCUGUCACUUAUAGAUGGAUCCGCGCUGCAUUAGCUAGUUGGUAAGGUAACGGCUUACCAAGGCAACGACGCAUAGCCGACCUGAGAGGGUGAUCGGCCACACUGGAACGGGGACACGGUCCAGACUCCUACGGGAGGCAGCAGUAGGGAAUCUUCCGCAAUGGGCGAAAGCCUGACGGAGCAACGCCGCGUGAGUGAUGAAGGUCUUCGGAUCGUAAAACUCUGUUAUUAGGGAAGAACAUAUGUGUAAGUAACUGUGCACAUCUUGACGGUACCUAAUCAGAAAGCCACGGCUAACUACGUG